CGGCCCGCAGGAAUGUCUUAUGGAGAUCAAACCAACACUCACUUGUUUGUCUCAUCAAGACCUAAAGAUCACACGCUGACACCCCUAAGCUAAAUCGAACAGAUAUGCUGCAAUUUUCCUUUCAAAAUAAGAUUUUCACUCA